UGCCAGCUGAGCCGCAGGCCUGGAGCUGGGUGCUAGGGACCUGCAGGUGAACUGAACCAGCAAAGACAGAUGUCACUGAUGAACUCCAAGAACGCAGUCCUCCUCAGCAGAGCCGUGGGAUAGCCAGUGGGACGGAGCUCUCCAGGUCCGGUUCAGAGGUGAAGCUGUCGGUCCCUCAUGGAGACUAAAUCCUCACAACCCAUCUGGGAGGUGUGGACAAGAGAAGCAAGGCCCAGGGAGGCUGACUCACCUAAGACUUGGGAGGUGACGCAGGCUCUGGAAGAGCUCAGCCACGGGACGGGGGCUGCUCCAGACCACAGAGGCCGCCGGGAAGGACUGGGGAAGGUAAGAGCUUUCCUUACAUUGUCA